UACAGAGGGUGCUAGCGUUGUUCGGAAUCAUUGGGCGUAAAGGGCGUGUAGGCGGUUUGUUAAGUCAUGUGUGAAAUCCCUCGGCUCAACCGGGGAACGACGCAUGAAACUGGCAGCUAGAGUACCAAAGAGGGGGGUGGAAUUCCCGGUGUAGCGGUGAAAUGCGUAGAUAUCGGGGAGGAACACCUGUGGCGAAGGCGGCCCCCCUGGUUGGAUACUGACGCUGAUACGCGAAAGCGUGGGGAGCAACAGG
rnacentral:rRNA from 1 species